UAUGACAGGCCUUGCUCACAUGUCUACUACAUUUAAUGGCAAAGAGGAGUAAAGUAGAUUUGCUUCUCAUCCUGGUUUAUGUUUAGAAAAGCUGCCUACUCUCAUCAGUAGGACCAACUCCUUCCUCAAACCAAACAUAUGCUUUUCAGAAUCAAGUAUCACACUGUCAUAGUUCAAAAGUAAGCACAAGAUGCAGUCAGAAAGAAGCUGAAGUACCACCACCACAAGAGGUUUUCUAUUGAGUAUCAACAGGUUUGGAAAAGAUACAUCAGAAAAACCUAAGAUGAGCA